CCUACGGGAGGCAGCAGUCGAGAAUCAUUCACAAUGGGGGAAACCCUGAUGGUGCGACGCCGCGUGGGGGAAUGAAGGUCUUCGGAUUGUAAACCCCUGUCAUGUGGGAGCAAAUUAAAAAGAUAGUACCACAAGAGGAAGAGACGGCUAACUCUGUGCCAGCAGCCGCGGUAAUACAGAGGUCUCAAGCGUUGUUCGGAAUCACUGGGCGUAAAGCGUGCGUAGGCUGUUUCGUAAGUCGUGUGUGAAAGGCGCGGGCUCAACCCGCGGAUGGCACAUGAUACUGCGAGACUAGAGUAGUGGAGGGGGAACCGGAAUUCUCGGUGUAGCAGUGAAAUGCGUAGAUAUCGAGAGGAACACUCGUGGCGAAGGCGGGUUCCUGGACAUUAACUGACGCUGAGGCACGAAGGCCAGGGGAGCGAAAGGGAUUAGAUACCCGGGUAGUC
rnacentral:rRNA from 1 species